UUCCCUACAAUAACUAAGCCUCCACUAUCAUUAUCUUUUACACCUUUCUAACAUUUCUUUACGUUAGUGGCUAGCACACUUAAGUGCACCACCAAAUCCCCUUUUCUUAAUUUAUCUAUCAACCUUUAAACCACCACCUCCAAAGGCUUUAUCAUUCAGCCAACAUACUAAUCAUUCAUUCUUCAAGAAUUCAGAGUAAGUACGUUGAUUCCUGCUGCCAAACUUCGAACAGGUAAGCUUUGGUUUAAGUUUUUUCCACCAGUCCAUUCUUGAUUCCCCUGCAUAUGUCAAUAAGCAUCUGAAAAUUUCAGCUAUCUCCUCAUUAAAUUCAAUAGCAACAAACAGCCACCAACAACAAGCAAUUACAGGUAUAUACUAAGCUCCCUUCAUUCGAAUCCCAUUUACAUUUCAUCCAACAAGCAUGAUUAAGUAGAAAUAUUGAAUGUAUAGAUGAGUAUAGGUUAUGGACUUAGCAAAGUCACAAGCACAGAAAUCAGUUCAUAUGUAAUUACAUUUCUUCACGCGAGCCACAAGCAAUGAGAACUCAUAUGAUACAGAAGCAAUCAAUACCUAGAUUAAUUUCUUGCCUUCACAAUAGACUAUUCAACCGGGGAAUGAAAACUAGAAUAAAGACCUUAUCCUUGCCUAAUUCACGUUAAGAACCGACUAUGGAGAAUAGUUUGACUUAGCUUUUAAGAGAGGGGAUGGCUGACUGCCUCGAUCGGUUUGAGACAGCUACGACAGGGGCGAACUCGCCCAAUCUCAUCAAGACCCGAGGACGGCAGCCACGGCGAUACCGAACUGGAGGGGGGGCGAAACCGACCGGUACCAGGGCCGGAGCAGCGGCCGCUCGACAGUAGCAAAUUCCUCUUUUCUGGAAACCAAGGCUAGAGGUCGGAGGGGGAAAUAUAGAGAAGGGAAAUGAGAUCGAACCGCUCCCAGACGGCGACCGCUUGCUGGAUUCCGGGCGAAGGAGUAGCAGCGACAGCGGCGAUGA
rnacentral:lncRNA from 1 species